UACGGGGGGGGUAAGCGUUGUUCGGAAUUACUGGGCGUAAAGGGCUCGUAGGCGGCCAACUAAGUCGGACGUGAAAUCCCUCAGCUUAACUGGGGAACUGCGUCCGAUACUGGAUGGCUUGGAUUUGGGAGAGGGAUGCGGAAUUCCUGGUGUAGCGGUGAAAUGCGUAGAUAUCAGGAGGAACACCGGUGGCGAAGGCGGGUCUCUGGGCCGAUACUGACGCUGAGGAGCGAAAGCGUGGGGAGCGAACAGG
rnacentral:rRNA from 1 species